rnacentral:tRNA from 1 species
GGGGUUGUAGCUCAGUGGUAGAGCACUUGCCUAGCAUGUGUGAGGCCCUGGGUUAGAUCCCCAGCACCA